ensembl:lncRNA GUSBP11 GUSB pseudogene 11
GCAGACAGGGAAGGCUUGUGGGUGAGGAAACUCAUCCAGAUCCCACGGUUGGUAAGAAGUGGGGCUGAAAUUGGACCGAGGGCAUUGGCUGCUCCUCAGGGAGAGGCUGGUCUGAGACAGCUGGUGCCAGAGACACAGCCUGCAAAGCUCAGCUGCUCACCGCAUCCAUGAGGGUCAGCUGCUCUGCCAGCAGCCUGGGAGGGAAGGUCGUCAUGUCAGGCAGCUCCUCACUGGGUUGGUUCUUUACAGACCCACGACAGGGACAGGAGGACUCUGGGGCUGACUGUGGCUCCAGCACUGUCCCUGGAGGGGGCCCUUCCCCUGGUGCUGGUGCUGGCCCUGGUGCUGAAUGUAGAUAUCCUGGUGGACCCAGGGCUGCAGGUGACUCUGGCUCCAGAGCAGGCCCCAGGUCCGCCAGCAGUGGUGGUGCUGGCUCCAGGGCCGGCAUUGUUAAUGCGUGUUGCCCAGGACGUGGAGCAGGAUCUGGAAAAGGAGAAAAGGUCACCACACCAGUCAUUUUUCACUGGGUUUUCCAAGCACAGAAAUGACCGGGUGGAAUUUAAGGGAAUUGUAGCCCCAAAACACCACCCCCGGAAAGUCUUGCAGACUGCAAGCCCCCUCACCAUCUGGCUUGGCCUCGUUGGGCUCCGGAAGCACCAACUGGCCUAGGACAAUUUCCUGAUGGUCCUCCAAGCCCAGUCCAGGCCAGGAGAGGUUCCUGAAGGCCAGCUUUAUCCGGAAAGAUGACCGUUGCGGGGGCUGAUAGUAAACUGAAGUGUUUUCGGGGGGCCAGUUGAACAAAAUGGAGGUGAUGGUGCUGGUGAUGGAGUAGACAGCUGAGUCAGAGGCCUGGCCUUCUCCCACACAACCCUCCAGGGCACCCCUGCGUGGUUCUGGGUCCCUGGCCUGUUGCUGCCAGUGUGGAGGACAGCCCCACCCUACCGUAAGCCAUCAGUGCUGUCCUGGAAGGGGCAGACCUGGCCAUACAGCAGGGCUGUACAGACCCUCGUGCGCCCUGGCGUCCCACAGACAUUCUCUUCCCAAAGGCCCUGGAGCACAGCACUGUACACCUGGGCACUCAAGACUGCAGCUGCAGGCAGAUUUGUGAGCAGCUUCCUCAUCAAAGCUCCAGAUCUGGGUCCCCUGGUCCUGGGGUUAGGAGGGAAGGGGCAGAUGUCGGGGGGAGGAGGACAGGGAGAGCUGGGAAGCCACGGUGCUGAGGGGGAUGGGUCUCUCAGUGGCCAGCUGUGACCCCAGCCUCCCCUCUGCUUUGCAGGGGACCUAAGUCUCCAUUUACAGAACUCACUAUUUGCCUCUUGUGGGGGAAGUCCCCAGAUGUCAGCCUUCUCGUGGGAAUUAUAAGAAGUAUGAGCCCCAGAGCUCCUUUAGUCUCUCCCCAGCCAGAGUCCACAUAUUUUCCCCCAUGUUUUGUGGGUGAAAAGGCCCUUCAGAACCCUAAAUCCACCCAGUUUAUAUUUGUUGCUGGGCUGCGUCAUUCUAGUCAGAAUCUGGGAGGAUGCCACCAUACGUAGAGGAGGCCAUGAGGGUCUCACCUGUAACAUUCUGUAGAUAUGACUUGUUUAUUCUGUCUACUGUGAGUGCCUGACUCUGAGUAGAAUCAAGGCCGGGGGAUUGUCAUCUGCUUUGUUUAUGAAAUUAUGCCAAGCCCCAAGAAGAGCGAUGCACAAAUGAGGUGUUUUGAAUGUAUGUGUUGAAUGAGUGAACCCCAACCUUUGGAGAACCCCAGUGAGCCUCUCCAGAUGUCUGAGUGGGCCUGUGGCUCCUUUUUCAGCACCAAGGGACCCCUCUUCUGUCUGUGUCAAGGAGAAAGACCAGCCAGAAGGAAUCUCAGACAUCCUUUACCAGUGCCAUCGCAGACUUGGUUUCUAUGUGUUUUUCCAAACAGUGAGUGAUACAGGCCAUUGAGGCAGAAUGCUGAGAGCUGCUUCAAGUGAGGGGGAAGAGAAAAGUAACAAACAUGAAUCACAGCACCCCCAGCAGAUUUUCCAGAGUUUUAGGCUCUAGGGACCCCUUUGUUUGCUGUGUCUUAGAUCAUUGAGUCCCUACAAGAACCCUGUGAGGUUCGUCUUCUCACUACUCCCUGUUCCAGAGGAGCCAACCGAGGCUCCGAGAGGUGCAUCUUCAAGACAGAGCCAGUAGGGGACAGAGGCACCUCUGUGUCUUGGAGGGGGAUGGACACUCACCUUCUAACCAGUAGUUCCAAAAAGUGUGGCACAGUGAUAAAGUCCCAGGAGGGGCCCAGGCAGGUGGCAUAGGAGGAGAUGGGUUUAGUUAGAAAGGCUGGAACCAGGGACUCCCAACAGCUUCUCCCCAGUGCCGGGCUGGAAAGUUAGCAUCCUGCAGAUCUCAUUUUCAUACUAGGGGGACAAGGAGGGACAUGGGAGUCAGUGGUAACACCAUGGACCACCAGAGGAUCGGGAUCUGGAACUCACACCAAGAAGCACCAACCCUUCAGGGACUUGUGCAUAUGGAGAACCUGGGUGCCCAUGGUGAAAAGCGUUCUAGGCUUUCAAAGUAACAUUGCAUGUGAGGAUGGAGAAUGAUAAAACGAUUCCUGCCUUCAAGGCAUCGUCCCGGUGUUUGUCAGCUGUGGGGCAACAGCACCCUCUGUGUCAGCAACCUGCAUGAAGAGCAUCAUCCCUGCAAGUCCUCAAGGCCUGGGGAGGCCUCAUCCCCUCCUCAUUUCAGCAACAGCACACAGGACAAUACGCUCUAGAAGAACUCUUUGACUUAAAGGUAUAUGAUUGUUUUUGUUCCUUUAACAUGAACGUGAGUCUGGAGAAACAGCUACGGCCAUCCCAGCCCUGGCCAAGGGGAAAAUGCCGGAAGACUCCAGGGUGGGAGGAAGCGCGUCCCAAGGCCCAGGAUCUGCGAGGCGACUUGGGGAAAACGCAGAAAAUAAAGCAUGCGAAGAAGUUAACUUGGUGCCAUUGGGCAGAGGGUGAGAGCCCAGCAAACCGGAGAGAUCAGCUGCCCACAUCAGUGGCGAGGAGUGCGGAGAGUGGGUGAGGCUGGGGCAGGAAGCAGGCCAGCCUGCCAGAGCCCAGGAACAGGUGAAAGGACCUGCUGAAGCUCACACCCGUGGACCACCCAGACUGCCUGCCGCUACAGGAUGCCCUCCGCAUCUCCCAGGACUUCUUUCCGGCAUCAGUGUGGACAUUGACCCCACUGGACUGCAGUCACAGUGGACUCCCAAGGGGCAGGAUCCACCUCUGAUGUUCAGUGAAGACUACCAGAAAAGUCUGCUAGAGCAGUACCAUCUGGGUCUGGAUCAAAAACUCAGAAAAUACGUGGUUGGAGAGCUCAUCUGGAAUUUUGCCGAUUUCAUGACUAACCAGUGUCAGCCCAAGACUACCCCGUCGGUCAUUCUGUUCCUGCCGUCCUGUGAGGAGCCCCAAGCCAACAAGGCCACACUGGUGUGUCUCAUGAAUAACUUUAUCCGGGAAUCUUGAUGGUGACCUGGAAGGCAGAUGGUACCCUCAUCACCCAGAGCGUGGAGAAGACCACGCCCUCCAAACAGAGCAACAACAAGUACGUGGCCAGCAGCUACCUGAGCCUGACGCCCGAGCAGUGGAGGUCCCGCAGAAGCUACAGCUGCCAGGUUAUGCAAGAAGGGAGCACCGUGGAGAAGUCAGUGGCCCCUGCAGAAUGUUCAUAGGUUCCAGCCCCCACCCCACCCACAGGGGCCUGGAGCUGCAGGAUCCCAGGGGAGGGGUCUCUCUCUGCAUCCCAAGCCAUUCAGCCCUUCUCGCUGUACCCAGUAAACCCUCAAUAAAUAUCUUUGUCAGCCAGAAA